rnacentral:rRNA from 1 species
GACGAACCGUGCGAACGUUAUUCGGAAUCACUGGGCUUAAAGGGCGCGUAGGCGGGUUUGCAAGUCUGCGGUGAAAGCCUCCAGCUUAACUGGAGAAGUGCCGUGGAUACUGCGAAUCUCGAGGAGGGUAGGGGCAUCUGGAACGUUGGGUGGAGCGGUGAAAUGCGUUGAUAUCCAACGGAACUCCGGUGGCGAAGGCGAGGUGCUGGACCCUUUCUGACGCUGAGGCGCGAAAGCCAGGGGAGCGAACGGG